UACGUAGGCAGCAAGCGUUGUUCGGAGUUACUGGGCGUAAAGGGUGCGUAGGCGGCUUUUUAAGUCUGGUGUGAAAUCUCCCGGCUCAACUGGGAGGGUGCGCCGAAUACUGAAUGACUAGAGUGCGGGAGAGGAUAGUGGAAUUCCUGGUGUAGCGGUGAAAUGCGUAGAUAUCAGGAGGAACACCGGUGGUGUAGACGGCUAUCUGGACCGUAACUGACGCUGAGACACGAAAGCGUGGGUAGCAAACAGG
rnacentral:rRNA from 1 species